rnacentral:tRNA from 1 species
GCCAUUGUGGCUCAGUAGUUAAAGUAUCAGCGUGCAGACCAGAGAGUUGUGGGUUCAAUUCCCAGUCAAGGGCA